rnacentral:tRNA from 1 species
GCCUCCACGGUGUAAUGGUCAGCGCACUCGGCACGUAUUCGAAAGGUCCAGGUUCGAAUCCCGGCGAAGGCA